UACGUAGGGUCCGAGCGUUGUCCGGAAUUACUGGGCGUAAAGCGCGCGCAGGCGGCCCUCGAGGUGUCACGUGAAAGCCCCGGGCUCAACCCGGGAGGGUCGUGGCAAACCGGCGGGCUUGAGGCCGGUAGAGGUGGGUGGAACUCCUGGUGGAGUGGUGAAAUGCGUAGAGAUCAGGAAGAACACCCGUGGCGAAGGCGACCCACUGGGCCGGUACUGACGCUGAGGCGCGAAGGCGUGGGGAGCGAACGGG
rnacentral:rRNA from 1 species